GUAGGUCCCGAGCGUUGUCCGGAUUUAUUGGGCGUAAAGCGAGCGCAGGCGGUUAGAAAAGUCUGAAGUGAAAGGCAGUGGCUCAACCAUUGUAGGCUUUGGAAACUGUUUAACUUGAGUGCAGAAGGGGAGAGUGGAAUUCCAUGUGUAGCGGUGAAAUGCGUAGAUAUAUGGAGGAACACCGGUGGCGAAAGCGGCUCUCUGGUCUGUCACUGACGCUGAGGCUCGAAAGCGUGGGGAGCGAACAGGAUUAGAUACCCUGGUAGUCCACGCCGUAAACGAUGAGUGCUAGGUGUUGGGUCCUUUCCGGGGCUCAGUGCCGCAGCUAACGCAUUAAGCACUCCGCCUGGGGAGUACGACCGCAAGGUUG
rnacentral:rRNA from 1 species